rnacentral:rRNA from 1 species
GGAAUCUUGCGCAAUGGGCGAAAGCCUGACGCAGCGACGCCGCGUGGGGGAUGACGGCCUUCUGGGUUGUAAACUACUUUUCUACAGGAAGAAAAAGACUAUGCGUAGUCAAUUGACGGUACUGUAGGAAUAAGCACCGGCUACCUCCGUGCCAGCAGCCGCGGUAAUACGGAGGGUGCGAGCGUUGUCCGGAUUUAUUGGGUUUAGAGGGUGCGUAGGCGGCUCUUUAAGUCAGUGGUGAAAGCCCGCAGCUUAACUGUGGAACUGCCAUUGAUACUGGAGAGCUUGAGUACGGUUGAAGUAGGCGGAAUUUAUGGUGUAGCGGUGAAAUGCAUAGAUACCAUAAAGAACACCGAUAGCGUAGGCAGCUUACUAAGCCGUAACUGACGCUGAGGCACGAAAGCAUGGGGAGCG